rnacentral:lncRNA from 1 species
UAUUUUUUAUUUUACUUUAUUUUUAAUAGUUUUAUUAAAGUGUAGUUGACCUACAAGGUUGUGAUCAUUUCUGCUGUACCACAGUGAUUUGGUUAUAUAUACACAUAUGCAUUCUUCCUCAGAUUCUUUUCCCAUGUAGAUUAUCACAGAAUAUUGGGUAGAGCAGGACCCCGUUGGCCAGUCAUUCCAUAUACUUCAGUGUCCAUUCAGAUUAUCACAGAAUAUUGGGUAGAGCAGGACCCCAUUGGCCAGUCAUUCCAUAUACCUCUGUGUCCAUAUGCCAAUCCCAACCCCUAGUCAAUUCCUACCCACCCCCAAUGGUCCCCUUUGGUAACCAUAAGUUUGUUUUCAAAGUCUGGAGUCUGUUUCUGUUCUGUGAAUAAGUUCAUUUGUCUCCCAGCUCUUAUUGUUUCCACUGAGAAAAUACAUUUAUAGUUUUCUCUAAAAGAAGAAUCCUAAUCAGUCCCCAGAAAGUCUGCUAAAAAGCAGAGAGAAAAAUCUAUGGAUACCGUUAUAAAAUAAUACCUAGUCUGGUGUUUUACAUCAGAUAGAGUUUACAACUUUGCAUGAACAAUAUAUGAUUUUUCCCAACCCAGAGGAAAUUGGUGUACAAACCUUACCACUCCAAAUAUUCAAGGAAAGGAGAAAACACUCCCUCAGGUCCUGCCACUGGCCAAGCCUACCCUUCUGAUGUGUCUCUCUGAGCCGUUUUCCACCUUCUAGAAGUUUGGUUCCCAAAGUAUUUAUCCACCUCAAGCCUGCAUAGUCUUUUUCAGUUAUAGCUCUCUCAGCGGAUGCUGCUAAGGCAUUUAAAGUUCCUCAUACGUUUUAAAAGAGAGGAGGGGAUAAUUCAGAUAAAUCAGCGGGGAGUGCAAUUUCAAACUCAGGAUCAAAGUGAGGUCAAGAAAGAGUAAUGUCAGGGCUGCAGUUCAAGCAGAGGAACCUUUAGUCAUGCUCCUCUUACAAAUGAUAGUCUAUAAGAAAAGGAGAAAGGAGCUCCAUGCUUCCUCCAAGUCCAAAAUAGAGAGUGAAGAUUCACCUCCCAUUAAGGGAAUCUUUGGUCCUUCAAGUUUCAGGACUAGCAUCCUUCAUGGGGUUUUCAGAAAGCCUUGAGCUUUCCUGCAUGUCCAUAGCAUUCAGACUCAACCAAACACAACAUACACGUACCUGCGUUCUAACUGUUCCAUUGGAUUAAGUGGCUUCCUUUUCUUGUCUUCAAGACAAGAUGCCUAAUUUCUAUUCUUUUCUAUAUAUUACAGUGUCUAGCAAAACGCAAGGUAUGUACAGGACACUUAGUAAAUACAUAAGUGAAAUAAUACUCACAAAUCACUUGGCCCAAGAGCAAGUACAAUUUUUAAAUGUUUCAUACAUGUUUUACCUCCUUGAUGCUUUUAUCAAAUCCCUAUGGGUCUCCCAGACACUGUCAUCUGCUUUGUAGAGAGCAGUAGACAACUAGAAAAAGGAGUUGCAAUAUUUAACAAAUAUUGGUUGGAGGCCUAUCAGGUGCCAGGUACCAAACCAGAUGACAGAGAUUCAAUGGUAACAGGACAGGUGAGUCUUAUCAAGGCAUUUAUAUUCUAGGAAUGGAACCUAAUUGGAAUAGGGGCAUUUUUGAUGGAUACUCGACAUGGCGUGGAUCAACCCACGGUGUUGUGACAGUCAGAAGAGGGUCACCGAACCUCAUCUGCAGGAGAAAGGUCAAGAGCUUCUUGGAGGGGGUGACAUUUAAAGAGAGACCAGGAAAAAAGGUUAGAAUCAGCCAGGUGAUGGUGGGAUGGAUUCCUGGGGGAGGCUCAGAAGGGAGAGGGCAGAGUGUGAGGGAGGAAGUUACAUCUGGGCCAUAGACGGAGGAGGGUGAUUUUGGAGGAACCCCGGGGGAAAGGCAUGUUAGACCAAGGCUGCAAGGACCAGGACCCGUUUGGGAGGCACCUGUCUGUGCUAAUGAAGAGGUAGACCCAUUUUUACACAGCUGUGGGGAAAAAUGGCCUCCCUUCACCCUUAGACUCUUGGUCUUCCUAUAAUAAAGCUGCAUAAGAAAUGGCAAGAAAUGAAUGAAUCCAUUUGUCUAAAAAGAUCAACAAGGACUAGCAACCUUCGUGGGGUUUUGGCACAACAGAAUUGGUGACAUCUUAGGAGCACUGUGAUGGAGGUUGGAUCCCGGGCCCUGGCACAGUGGGUUGGGGAUCCGGUGUUGCCAAGGCUACAGAUUAGAUUCCAACUAUGGCUUGGCUCUGAUCCCUGGCCUGGGAACUCCACAUGCCAUGGGGCAGCCAAAAAUAAAUAAAUAAGACUUAACAUAAGUUUAAAAAAAUAAAAAUAAUAAAAAGACUGAGAGAUUAAUGUUUGACUGGGGGGAACACGUGGAAGGAAGAUCUUACAGAGUAACUGUUUACUUCUGUUAUUAUUGAAUAGCCUGACAGAGGUCACUAGGCUGACUGCUUAUACCAGCCCAGGAAGUGAGGUGAACUUCUCCCUGCAUUUUCACAGUUUUUGGGCUAUUUGGAAAAGCACCAUAUCAACAGGAUGCUAACCAAGGUAGACGACUUUUCCAGCAGU